rnacentral:rRNA from 1 species
ACGAACGCUGGCGGCGUGCUUAACACAUGCAAGUCGCACGGAAAGGCCCUGCUUUUGUGGGGUGCUCGAGUGGCGAACGGGUGAGUAACACGUGAGUAACCUGCCCUUGACUUUGGGAUAACUUCAGGAAACUGGGGCUAAUACCGGAUAGGAGCUCCUGCUGCCUGGUGGGGGUUGGAAAGUUUCGGCGGUUGGGGAUGGACUCGCGGCUUAUCAGCUUGUUGGUGGGGUAGUGGCUUACCAAGGCUUUGACGGGUAGCCGGCCUGAGAGGGUGACCGGCCACAUUGGGACUGAGAUACGGCCCAGACUCCUACGGGAGGCAGCAGUGGGGAAUAUUGCACAAUGGGCGGAAGCCUGAUGCAGCAACGCCGCGUGCGGGAUGACGGCCUUCGGGUUGUAAACCGCUUUCGCCUGUGACGAAGCGUGAGUGACGGUAAUGGGUAAAGAAGCACCGGCUAACUACGUG